GGAGGGUGCAAGCGUUGCUCGGAAUUACUGGGCGUAAAGCGCGUGUAGGCGGUUUCGUGUGUCUGAUGUGAAAUCCCCGGGCUCAACCCGGGAAGUGCAUUGGAAACUGCGAGACUAGAGUCCCGGAGAGGAAGGUGGAAUUCCAGGUGUAGCGGUGAAAUGCGUAGAUAUCUGGAAGAACACCGGUGGCGAAGGCGGCCUUCUGGACGGUGACUGACGCUGAGACGCGAAAGCGUGGGGAGCAAGCAGGAUUAGAUACCCUGGUAGUCCACGCCAUAAACGAUGGGCACUAGGUGUCGCGGGUAUUGACCCCUGCGGUGCCACAGCUAACGCAUUAAGUGCCCCGCCUGGGGAUUACGGCCGCAAGGUUA
rnacentral:rRNA from 1 species